ACCUAAAAAUCCUCUCCCUUCUCU
rnacentral:siRNA from 1 species